GAUGAACGCUGGCGGCGUGCCUAAUACAUGCAAGUCGAGCGAACAGACGAGGAGCUUGCUCCUCUGACGUUAGCGGCGGACGGGUGAGUAACACGUGGAUAACCUACCUAUAAGACUGGGAUAACUUCGGGAAACCGGAGCUAAUACCGGAUAAUAUUUUGAACCGCAUGGUUCAAAAGUGAAAGACGGUUUUGCUGUCACUUAUAGAUGGAUCCGCGCCGCAUUAGCUAGUUGGUAAGGUAACGGCUUACCAAGGCAACGAUGCGUAGCCGACCUGAGAGGGUGAUCGGCCACACUGGAACUGAGACACGGUCCAGACUCCUACGGGAGGCAGCAGUAGGGAAUCUUCCGCAAUGGGCGAAAGCCUGACGGAGCAACGCCGCGUGAGUGAUGAAGGUCUUCGGAUCGUAAAACUCUGUUAUUAGGGAAGAACAAAUGUGUAAGUAACUAUGCACGUCUUGACGGUACCUAAUCAGAAAGCCACGGCUAACUACGUG
rnacentral:rRNA from 1 species